CGGCUUCUGGGUGGGGAAGGUGGAUUGGAGAUGUUUAAUUUUGUUGCUUCUUCUGGAAUAGAGAUUUUUGUUGGUGUAUAUACCCUGUUUUUCUUAGUUGAAGAGUUCUUUCUCAGAAACAAAGUAUUUGGUUUUGGUGUUGCUACUGCUUUAUGAAGUUGAACAAGCUGAGAUUCAUAGGUAUGUGUUGCUUCUUUUGCAUUCAAGGGGUUCUGCAUUAUUCAUUUGUAUAUCUUUGCUAUUCAUAGGUAUGUGUUGCUUCUUUUGCUUCUUUUCGGUGCGAGCUGCCAAGAGCUGCUAAUCAAAAGAUCUUAUCCAACUAAACAAGAGCUACCAGAAGAAAUGAAGCAAACAAUAGGAGAGCAGCACCUGUUUGAAAUCAAAGUGUAUCCCAACUCUGAACUGAUGGUUGUUCAGGUGUUCACAGGCCAGCAGACUACGCAAUCCUUGGUGGCAAGACAAGUUCCACAUACAGGAACAUCAACCCGCCUCCUCCUUGAGAAGAAAACAACAGUUGAGACAAAUGAAGAAGCAUUGUUGAUACUAGAUUCUGAAAAGAAAACAAAAGGGCAAGGAAAGUAACUUGCUUCAUCAGCUGUCAGUCAAGGACUUUAAAUGAAAACCUUCAACUAGAUGUCAGUCCCAAGAUAACUCUUUUUUAGUUUAUGUUGCCAGGCUAACAUCUUAAGUAAAUGUUGCAGCGGUCUAACUGUUUUUUUGCAUGUUUG